rnacentral:ribozyme from 13 species
AUUAAAAAAACAAAAAACAAAACAAAAAAAAAAAUGGAAAGACUGAC